AUUGAACGCUGGCUGCAUGCUUUACACAUGCAAGUCGAACGGUAACAGGCCGCAAGGUGCUGACGAGUGGCGAACGGGUGAGUAAUGCAUCGGAACGUGCCCAGGCGUGGGGGAUAACGCAGCGAAAGCUGUGCUAAUACCGCAUACGAUCUGUGGAUGAAAGCGGGGGACCGUAAGGCCUCGCCCGAUUCGAGCGGCCGAUGGCAGAUUAGGUAGUUGGUGGGGUAAAGGCUCACCAAGCCGACGAUCUGUAGCUGGUCUGAGAGGACGACCAGCCACACUGGGACUGAGACACGGCCCAGACUCCUACGGGAGGCAGCAGUGGGGAAUUUUGGACAAUGGGCGCAAGCCUGAUCCAGCAAUGCCGCGUGCAGGAAGAAGGCCUUCGGGUUGUAAACUGCUUUUGUACGGAGCGAAAAGGCUUCCACUAAUACUGGGGGCUCAUGACGGUACCGUAAGAAUAAGCACCGGCUAACUACGUGCCAGCCGCCGCCGUAACAC
rnacentral:rRNA from 1 species